UUGAACGCUGGCUGCACGCUUAACACAUGCAAGUCGAACGGUGGUUUCACUUCGGUGAUGCCACAGUGGCGCACGGGUGAGUAACACGUGGGAACCUGCCUUUCGGUUCGGGAUAACGUCUGGAAACGGACGCUAACACCGGAUACGCCCCCCAAAGAGAUUUGGGCGGGGAAAGUUUACGCCGAGAGAGGGGCCCGCGUCCGAUUAGGUAGUUGGUGGGGUAACGGCCUACCAAGCCGACGAUCGGUAGCUGGUCUGAGAGGAUGAUCAGCCACACUGGGACUGAGACACGGCCCAGACUCCUACGGGAGGCAGCAGUGGGGAAUAUUGGACAAUGGGGGCAACCCUGAUCCAGCAAUGCCGCGUGAGUGAUGAAGGCCUUAGGGUUGUAAAGCUCUUUCGCACGCGACGAUGAUGACGGUAGCGUGAGAAGAAGCCCCGGCUAACUUCGU
rnacentral:rRNA from 1 species